GCUGCCUCAUCUGGGAGGUCUUCAAUGGACCCCUCCCCCGGCCGGGGGCUCUGCGCAGCUUCGGCAAGCUGCCCCCCGGGCUCAUCCCGCCCUUCUCGGAGCUGGUGGCGGCGGAUCCGGGGGCCCGGCCGGGCCCGGGGCCGCUCCUGGAGCGGCUGCAGCGCCCUGGAGCCUUCCUGGCCUGCGCCCUGGUGCGCACCGGGCUCUUCCUCGAGCACUUCCAGGUCCGGGACCCCUCGGAGCGCCGGACGUUCCUGCAGGAGCUGCCCCCUCUCCUGGAGUCCCUCCCGGGGCCCUUCCGCAGGCACAAGCUGCUCCCGAGGCUGCUCGAGGCCCUGGAGCUGGGCAGCGCCGACGCCAGC